CCCUCUGUUAACUUUUGUUCAAGCCUGUCUAGAUCUUUUAUCAGUCUAGAAAGAUGUUGGAGAAAAGACAUCAUCCUCUUCUAUAAUCUCCAUCUGUAAUUGGACUAACAACUGGACCAGGGAAAGCAGGCAACUUACUCUCCAUUCGAUCUUGCAGGUCACACCAUGGUCUCAAGAGGGAAAAUGAGUGCUCUAUGGAUUGAACAGAAAAGGUGAAUCAAAACUCCAACCAUCUGUAUGAGGGUCUGGAUGGAUAAAGGAUGCCCACUGGAGCUGGAAAUGAUGGAUCAGGUGGAUCCACACUUGAACCAUCUGUAUGAUGAUCUGCACCCACUGGAUCUGUAAAUGGUGAAGCAGGUUUCUGAAUUGAUGUCAGAUGCAAAGCAGAAGCUUAUUUUCUUCCAGUUUGGCUUCAUUGUGGAAAAAUGCUGGAAACUAAA